rnacentral:rRNA from 1 species
AGCAUCCUACGGGGGGCAGCAGUGAGGAAUAUUGGUCAAUGGCCGGAAGGCUGAACCAGCCAAGCCGCGUGAAGGACGAAGGUGCCAAGCAUUGUAAACUUCUUUUGUCAAGGGACAAAAUCAGGCUCGAGAGCCUGACCGAGGGUACUUGAAGAAAAAGCAUCGGCUAGCUCCGUGCCAGCAGCCGCGGUAAUACGUAGGGGGCGAGCGUUAUCCGGAUUUACUGGGUGUAAAGGGAGCGUAGACGGUUCUGCAAGUCUGAAGUGAAAGCCCGUGGCUUAACCGCGGAACGGCUUUGGAAACUG